rnacentral:rRNA from 1 species
AUUGAACGCUGGCGGCAGGCUUAACACAUGCAAGUCGAGCGGUAGCACAAGAGAGCUUGCUCUCUGGGUGACGAGCGGCGGACGGGUGAGUAAUGUCUGGGAAACUGCCUGAUGGAGGGGGAUAACUACUGGAAACGGUAGCUAAUACCGCAUAACGUCGCAAGACCAAAGAGGGGGACCUUCGGGCCUCUUGCCAUCAGAUGUGCCCAGAUGGGAUUAGCUAGUAGGUGGGGUAAUGGCUCACCUAGGCGACGAUCCCUAGCUGGUCUGAGAGGAUGACCAGCCACACUGGAACUGAGACACGGUCCAGAGUCCUACGGGAGGCAGCAGGGGGGAAUAUUGCACAAUGGGCGCAAGCCUGAUGCAGCCAUGCCGCGUGUGUGAAGAAGGCCUUCGGGUUGUAAAGCACGUUCAGCGAGGAGGAAGGUGGUGAACUUAAUACGUUCAUCAAUUGACGUUACUCGCAGAAGAAGCACCGGCUAACUCCGUG